UACAGAGGUCCCGAGCGUUGUUCGGAUUCACUGGGCGUAAAGGGUGCGUAGGUGGUGAGGUAAGUCGGAUGUGAAAUCUCCAGGCUCAACCUGGAAACUGCAUUGGAAACUACCUUGCUGGAGGAUUUGAGGGGGGAUUGGAAUACUUGGUGUAGCAGUGAAAUGCGUAGAUAUCGUAAGGAAGACCAGUGGCGAAGGCGAAUCUCUGGACAGUUACUGACACUGAGGCACGAAGGCCAGGGGAGCAAACGGG
rnacentral:rRNA from 1 species